CGCACCCGCGCGCCAGACACAGCUCCCGGGGGCACCGGGCUCUGACUUCCCAAAACGGGAAGAGAGCGAGACGCCCAGAACUGGGGUCAGAGUCGCGUCUGAGAGGGGCCCGGGAAAAGACCAGGGAGAGCAAAUGACCGGAGUCGGUGCCAGCUCUGUCAUCUGCCACCGGCCACUUAAACUACCCUGCGGAGUUUCUCCAUCAACAAAGUGGGCAUGUUCUGCUCGGUGCCUACCUAGGUCGGCAAACCUGCUGGGGGCCCCUUGGCUGGCUGGGGACUGGAAGGUCACACCCCAGCUCUGACCUCCUCUGUUUGUUACACAGAUUUGCAGGUGUGACUCCUGUUCCAUGAGGCUGAGAACUUUACUAAUUUCCCCAUGUGUCCAUAUGCCUGCUAUGUGCCAGCCACUGCUCUAGGCUCUUAGGAGAAUUUCCGCACAACUUAUGGAAAAAUCCCUGGCAGGAUGGACUCUGCGUUCCGUCCUGCGGGAAAACAAGAAGCAUAAUAAAUAAACACAUUGUAGGGUGUGUGGGACAGGGAUAUGGGCAAAGAGAAAAGUGAGCCUGGGAAGGUGUUGGGGGGUGGUGUGUUGCGGGGAAAGGGGGAAGCAGUUUGGUCAGGGAAUUUGAGAAGGCAGCAUUUAAGCAAGUAAAGGAGUGAGCCAUUUGGGCCUGGUAUUCAUGCAUUUCUUCACUUGUUUGUCUGUUGGUUAAUUUCUUCAUUCAUCAAAUGAUCACCUGCUGUGUGCGGAAACAGUGCUGGCUCCUGGAGCCAAGGAGAUAGUUCCUGCCAUCAAAGAGUUAGUGGUCCGGUGUGUAAAGAGACCAUCACCACCCAGUGUGGUCAGGAUUGGUUGCAACUACAGGGGUAUGGAAACUGGUUGGAGCUGAAUCAGCAGAUAAAGGAUGGGGGUGAAGAGGUAAUCUAAGAAGGCAUCACAGAGGAGACAACAGGUAAAGGGGAUGGGCAGAAAUUUUGACAAACCCAGACAUGCUGACCUUUCUGUUCUUUAAACAGUCCAAGCUCAAACCCGCUCCAGGACCUUGACACUUCCUGGUUCCUCUGCCUGAGUUGUUCAGAUCUUAGUUUAGUGGUUCCUUUCUGACCACUCAAAUCUAAAAUACACCCCUAUUGUCUAACACAUCACCCUAUUUUAUUCCCUUCAUUACACCAGUAUACAAAUGCAAUUAUUUGUUUAUUAUAUGUCUCAUCUUGGAGGUAGUGUAUGAGCUCUGUGAGUGCAGGAACCCUGAAUGUCCUAAACACCUCUGUGUUCCUAACACCUGGAACAUACUAAGGCACCAAUUAGUAGGGACACUGAAUGCAUUCAUGCUGGUGUAUGGGGGCAUUGAGAUCAUUUUUGCCAGAAGGACCAGCAUGACAAAUAUCUUCUGUGAACGAUAUAGAGAAGAAGGGAAAAUUAGUGGAUGAUGAGUCUGCCCUGGCUUUCUGGGGGUUGAUGAGGAGAGGCAGAAGUCAGGGGAAGGAUUGGGCUAAGUUUCAGGAGAGCCUGGAGCCAUGGAUUCCCAUCCAUCAAGGUUGUCAAUUUCCUUUGACCAGCAGCACCCCCCCCCCGCCCCCGGGCUAUUUUGACAAGCCUCUAAGAGAACAGAAAUGAAAUCAUCUUUCCAUUUUUCAGGUCAGGGAACCGUGGCUCUGAGGAUUCAGGGGACCUGCGAGAGGUCCCACAGGUUGGAAAUGACAAAGUUGAAAUGACAACCCAGGUCUCCCAGCUCCCAGCUCCUGCCCCUUCCACCAAUUGGCGAGUCAAGACACUCAGAAUCUCUCUAGGGAUCAUGAUUCCCUCCUCUGCUUUAACCCCACCCAACUGGCCCCAAGUCUCCCACCUCUGAACACCGCAGGAAGCCCCAGCCUUCUCUGCCGCGCCUCCCUCCACCCCCCACCCCCGCCAUCGCAGCAUCCCCAGCCCCUCACUGCAACAACUUUCCUCUCACGUCCAGUAUCUUUCCAGCCGCGUGAUGGUCACCAGCUGCCAGAGCUCUUUCUAAAACUCCAGACUGAUCACCUCACUCCUCGGCCUCCUCUUCUGUCUCCCCCAAGAGACAACACACCGACGUGAUUUCAUUAACCCUGGAUUUAAGGUAUGAACACUGAGGCCGGGGAGCUAAGAGCCAGGCCUCCCCUCCCCACACCGGGUCAGUCUGCGAGUUCAAGUUCCAGCUGGGACAAGGGCCUUGGCUUCAAAAUGCCUGAGGCCAGAGAUCUUUUACACUAUGUCAAGCUGGCAAGAAACAUCUCCCUCCACCCAGCCCCACUGCGACAGAUAGCAACUGCGUUUCCUAGCCAAGGUAUUUUCUCACAAGAUUACAGGAGCAGAAGGCUUCCCCGUGCAGCAGCCCCUUCUCCAAGCACACACAUCAAGAGUCUGCUGGCCACGUCUUGUCUCUCCCUCGUGCUGGAGGAGGGCCUCUGGAAGGAACGACACUCAGCUGGGAGCAGCGUUCCCUGACCUUCUCUAAAGGACAAGAGCCAGGUUUGGGGGAACUGUGGGGACUCAUGGGAUGGUCUGGCCCAGGCUGCGAGGGAUGAACUCCUAAAUGAGCCAGCGGCUCCCAUCGGCAGCCCUGGUGACUUUCAGCGAGGAGGGGGAGUGCUCCUCCUCCCUCCGGGCUCUCGAGGAGAAUGCCGGGAGUUGCUCGCCCCCCUGAGAGGGAGAGAACCAGCCCACUGCGGCACCUGUGCCCAGAAAGUUCCAUAAGUGCAGAAGGACCUCCUGAGAGAAGAAGCAUGGAUGCCAGUUUGAAGUGUUGGUUUUCUGCACUUGGAUUCCCUCCUCAAAGCCUCAAGAUCUCACCAUGUCUGGUCAAACACUGCAUCUUGGCAUGAAGCAUGCUUUGAGGAACCGGAGAAUGGUGGUGUCCACUUCUGGGUGAAGGGCCUAGACACAGGGCAGUAGCUCUGGGGAAUGAAGGAGCAGGGUGGUGGCCAGAAGGGAGGGGUGACAGGGGACAGGAAGGAUAGAUGGGUGGGAUGUGUACCCCCACCUCGGGGUUUCUCAGAAAGACUGUGGCUGGGGCCCCUGGGUGGCUCAGUGGGUUAAAGCUUCUGCCUUCGGCUCAGGUCAUGAUCCCGGGGUCCUGGGAUCGAGCCCCGCAUCGGGCUCUCUGCUCAGCAGGGGACCUUCUUCCUCCUCUCUCUCUCUGCCUGCCUCUCUGCCUACUUGUGAUCUCUGUCUAAUAAAUAAAUAAAAUC